UUGCGUUAGCAGCAUAUAUACUAAAAUUGGAACAAUAUAGAGAAGAUUAGUACAGUCCCUGCUCAAGGAUGACAUGCAAAUUCAUGAAGCAUUCCAUAUUGUU
ensembl:snRNA U6 U6 spliceosomal RNA